rfam:Marinobacter santoriniensis NKSG1 contig00018, whole genome shotgun sequence.
AACUUCCUGGGCUGUUCGCGAUGGUCGGAUACGUCCUCGAGCCGAUGCGCACUACCCAGGUGGCUACUUCAGGGCAUUGUGAGCACGUCCCCUUACGGGGAAAGCCUAAUAUGUCACAGCGGCCACCGACCUUGAACUUUGGGUUCAAGGGCCACAUCCGAUAACGGCAGCCCGGGAAGCUU